GAACUUAAUCGUACUCGCGAAUGCAUCNCAGAUUAGGUUUAUGAUCAUGGCUCAGAAUUGAACGCUGGCGGUCAAAGCCUAACACAUGCAAGUCGAGCGGAUGAUGGGAGCUUGCUCCCGGAUUCAGCGGCGGACGGGUGAGUAAUGCCUAGGAAUCUGCCUGGUAGUGGGGGACAACGUUUCGAAAGGAACGCUAAUACCGCAUACGUCCUACGGGAGAAAGCAGGGGACCUUCGGGCCUUGCGCUAUCAGAUGAGCCUAGGUCGGAUUAGCUAGUUGGUGGGGUAAAGGCCUACCAAGGCGACGAUCCGUAACUGGUCUGAGAGGAUGAUCAGUCACACUGGAACUGAGACACGGUCCAGACUCCUACGGGAGGCAGCAGUGGGGAAUAUUGGACAAUGGGCGAAAGCCUGAUCCAGCCAUGCCGCGUGUAUGAAGAAGGUCUUCGGAUUGUAAAGCACUUUAAGUUGGGAGGAAGGGCAGUAAGUUAAUACCUUGCUGUUUUUUGACCGUUUACCCAACCAGNAAUUUNUGGCCUCCGGNCUUANCUUUCGUGCCCCCAGGCCUAGCCCCGGCNGUGGUUAUACGUUUCUGCUUGUGGGUUGGCUNGGUGCAGUUUUUCUUCNNGNGGAUUNUCUCGGGGGCGUNGUUCGGGCUAGCGCCGUNUCGAUGUUGGNGUAGUGGNGNUNUGUCNCUGUNGCGUCGUNUCCGUCACCCGCCGAGUNUCCCAUCCUCGCNNACGUCUNGGNCCCCGUCACUCCCCCCCUCCUACGCUACNCUANGCNNNGAGUGGNCAUUUCUUUUUCGGG
rnacentral:rRNA from 1 species